rnacentral:lncRNA from 1 species
CUGCGGUAUUGUUUACAAUAAAUAUAUGCAUGUCCUUUGGUCUCUAGUUGACUCAUUGACAAUCAUGUCACAUAUGUUUUUGUAUAAAUUUAUAUAUAUAUACACACAUUCUAACACUGCAUCGAGACAGUUAAAUUAUCAAUUGCAAAAAAACAUUACCACCUUAUAUUCUUACCGUUCACUUGCAAUUGGUAAAGACUUAAUGCUAU